GCCGGGCGCAGUGGCGGGCGCCUGUAGUCCCAGCUACUCGGGAGGCUGAGGCAGGAGAAUGGCGUGAACCCGGGAGGCGGAGCUUGCAGUGAGCCGAGAUUGUGCCACUGCACUCCAGCCUGGGCGACAGAGCGAGACUCCGUCUCAAAAAAAAAAAAAAAAAAAAGAAUUGAAAUGCCUUUUUUUUUUUUUUUUUGAGACGGAGUCAGGCUGGACUGCAGUGGUGCAAUUUCGGCUCAUUGCAGCCUCCGCCUCCCAGGUUCAAGUGAUUCUCCUACCUCAG
rnacentral:SRP_RNA from 1 species